rnacentral:rRNA from 1 species
UGCCAGCCGCCGCGGUAAUACGGAGGGUGCAAGCGUUGUUCGGAUUUAUUGGGCGUAAAGCGCGCGCAGGCGGAUAAUCAAGUCAGAUGUGAAAUCUCGGGGCUCAACCCCGAAACUGCGUCUGAAACUGGUAAUCUAGAAUCUCGGAGAGGGAUGGGGAAUUUCUCAUGUAGGGGUAAAAUCCGUAGAGAUGAGAAGGAACACCAGAGGCGAAGGCGCCAUCCUGGACGAGUAUUGGCGCUGAGGCGCGAAAGCGUGGGGAGCAAACAGGAUUAGAUA